AGCGACGCUUACAAGAUGAAAACUUUGGCUGCCUCAGUCCUCAUUGCCGCCGCCUGCUUCUCGGUUUUUGCUGAAGCCCAGUCAACUAAUUACUGCACCAUCAGCACAUGCUCCGUGCCAUCGGACAACACCCUCUGCAAAUAUUCGAACACUACUUGGGGAGCAGCUUGCCGACCGGCCUACCCAUCCAGUUCGAUCGUGACCGAUGCCGACAUCGUGACCAUUUUGAAUGUGCACAACGAUUACCGACGAAAAGUUGCGCAGGGCCUUGAGACCCGAGGAAGUCCAGGUCCUCAACCUCCCGCGUCCAACAUGAGGGAAUUGCAAUGGGACCAAGAACUCUCGGUUAUGGCACAAGCCCACGCCCAACAGUGUGUGUUCCAACACGACAGUUGCAGAGAUGUUCCUCGUUUUCGGGUGGGUCAGAAUAUUUACAUUACUGGGUCUUCCGCCAACAACCUUGGCACUUCAGACUGGAAUGCAGUAGUAAAGUCUUGGUACGAUGAAGUUCAAUACAUGAACACCGCUUACGUCCAAUCCUUCCCCGCAAACCCACCAAAUGUAAUUGGACACUACACGCAAGUAGUAUGGGCCGACACUUAUUAUGUGGGUUGUGCAGUGGCUUACUUCCAAUCUACGGCCGUUUUUGGGCCAUCGUAUCCCUAUAAUAGAAUGUACGUUUGUAAUUACGGACCAACUGGCAACUGGAUCGGCUCUCAAGUUUAUAAGCAAGGAACAGCCGGAUCCGCCUGCCCCACAGGUACUGUGAACAGCAACGGCUUGUGUGUUUGAACACAGUUUGUUACUUUUCCCUAAAAUUUGUACCACAGCCAGUAUCUUAAUGAUCUGUCGUGGACAUUAUUCCCCCUGAUUUUUUGGCGCCUAUAAAAUCCUAGUGCAGUAGUUUGAAAAUACAUUUAAUCAGUCAGCA
rnacentral:misc_RNA from 1 species